rnacentral:rRNA from 1 species
AACGGACGCUGGCGGCAUGCCUAACACAUGCAAGUCGAACGAGACCUUCGGGUCUAGUGGCGCACGGGUGCGUAACGCGUGGGAACCUGCCCUUAGGUUCGGAAUAACUCCCCGAAAGGGGUGCUAAUACCGGAUAAUGUCUUCGGACCAAAGAUUUAUCGCCUUUGGAUGGGCCCGCGUUGGAUUAGCUAGUUGGUAGGGUAAAAGCCUACCAAGGCGACGAUCCAUAGCUGGUCUGAGAGGAGGAUCAGCCACACUGGGACUGAGACACGGCCCAGACUCCUACGGGAGGCAGCAGUGGGGAAUAUUGGACACUGGGCGAAAGCCUGAUCCAGCAAUGCCGCGUGAGUGAUGAAGGCCUUAGGGUUGUAAAGCUCUUUUACCCGGGAUGAUAAUGACAGUACCGGGAGAAUAAGCUCCGGCUAACUCCGUG